GAUGAACGCUGGCGGCGUGCCUAAUACAUGCAAGUCGAGCGAACGGACGAGAAGCUUGCUUCUCUGAUGUUAGCGGCGGACGGGUGAGUAACACGUGGAUAACCUACCUAUAAGACUGGGAUAACUUCGGGAAACCGGAGCUAAUACCGGAUAAUAUUUUGAACCGCAUGGUUCAAAAGUGAAAGACGGUCUUGCUGUCACUUAUAGAUGGAUCCGCGCUGCAUUAGCUAGUUGGUAAGGUAACGGCUUACCAAGGCAACGAUGCAUAGCCGACCUGAGAGGGUGAUAGGCCACACUGGAACUGAGACACGGUCCAGACUCCUACGGGAGGCAGCAGUAGGGAAUCUUCCGCAAUGGGCGAAAGCCUGACGGAGCAACGCCGCGUGAGUGAUGAAGGUCUUCGGAUCGUAAAACUCUGUUAUUAGGGAAGAACAUAUGUGUAAGUAACUGUGCACAUCUUGACGGUACCUAAUGAGAAAGCCACGGCUAACUACGUG
rnacentral:rRNA from 1 species